rnacentral:rRNA from 1 species
CAGUAGCCGCGGUAAUACGAAGGGUGCAAGCGUUAAUCGGAAUUACUGGGCGUAAAGCGUGCGUAGGCGGUGAGUUAAGUCUGCUGUGAAAUCCCCGGGCUCAACCUGGGAAUGGCAGUGGAUACUGGCUCGCUAGAGUGUGUCAGAGGAUGGUGGAAUUCCCGGUGUAGCGGUGAAAUGCGUAGAGAUCGGGAGGAACAUCAGUGGCGAAGGCGGCCAUCUGGGACAACACUGACGCUGAGGCACGAAAGCGUGGGGAGCAAACAGGAUUAGUUACCCCCGUAGUCCCUGUCUCUUAUAC